GACGAACGCUGCGGCGUGCUUAACACAUGCAAGUCGAACGGAAAGGCCCUGCUUUUGUGGGGUGCUCGAGUGGCGAACGGGUGAGUAACACGUGAGUAACCUGCCCUUGACUUUGGGAUAACUUCAGGAAACUGGGGCUAAUACCGGAUAGGAGCUCCUGCUGCAUGGUGGGGGUUGGAAAGUUUCGGCGGUUGGGGAUGGACUCCCGGCUUAUCAGCUUGUUGGUGGGGUAGUGGCUUACCAAGGCUUUGACGGGUAGCCGGCCUGAGAGGGUGACCGGCCACAUUGGGACUGAGAUACGGCCCAGACUCCUACGGGAGGCAGCAGUGGGGAAUAUUGCACAAUGGGCGGAAGCCUGAUGCAGCAACGCCGCGUGCGGGAUGACGGCCUUCGGGUUGUAAACCGCUUUCGCCUGUGACGAAGCGUGAGUGACGGUAAUGGGUAAAGAAGCACCGGCUAACUACGUG
rnacentral:rRNA from 1 species